rnacentral:rRNA from 1 species
UACGUAGGUGGCAAGCGUUGUCCGGAUUUACUGGGCGUAAAGAGCGCGCAGGCGGUCGUUCAAGUCGCGUGUGAAAGCCCCCGGCUCAACUGGGGAGGGUCACGCGAUACUGAUCGACUCGAAGGCAGGAGAGGGUAGUGGAAUUCCCGGUGUAGUGGUGAAAUGCGUAGAUAUCAGGAGGAACACCGAUGGCGAAGGCAGGCUCGCUGG